rnacentral:rRNA from 1 species
UGGGGAAUAUUGCACAAUGGGCGCAAGCCUGAUGCAGCCAUGCCGCGUGUGUGAAGAAGGCCUUCGGGUUGUAAAGCAACUUUCAGCGAGGAGGAAGGUGGUGAACUUAAUACGUUCAUCAAUUGACGUUACUCGCAGAAGAAGCACCGGCUAACUCCGUGCCAGCAGCCGCGGUAAUACGGAGGGUGCAAGCGUUAAUCGGAAUUACUGGGCGUAAAGCGCACGCAGGCGGUUUGUUAAGUCAGAUGUGAAAUCCCCGGGCUCAACCUGGGAACUGCAUUUGAAACUGGCAAGCUAGAGUCUCGUAGAGGGGGGUAGAAUUCCAGGUGUAGCGGUGAAAUGCGUAGAGAUCUGGAGGAAUACCGGUGGCGAAGGCGGCCCCCUGGACGAAGACUGACGCUCAGGUGCGAAAGCGUGGGGAGCAAACAGAUUAGAGUACCCUGGUAGUCCACGCUGUAAACGAUGUCGAUUUUGGAGGUUGUGCCCUUGAGGCGUGCUUCCGGAGCUAACGCGUUAAAUCGACCGCCUGGGGAGUACGGCC